GACAAUUCUUAUCCACAAUGAAUGUAGUCCCUAAAUGUAUGAAGAGACGUGUAUGUAUUAUAUAUGUUGUUCAUGACAGUAAUUGUAUAAUUCUGUGUUUGUCCUCUAGAAUAUAAACAAAAAUAAUUACACUUGAAAACGUAGUUAAAAUUGUAUUUCAUGUACAUGUAUUUACCAGUAAGUCUAGAAAUCUCGUGCUUUAAUGUGACAUAUAAUAUUUGGAAUUUAAUAUGCUUGUUAUUGAUCAACUACAUAGGAAUAUUACUAUCUCAAACAUUAUCUUGUAUACCAAAGUUUUGUGGAAGUGGGUCUGUAGUCACAACCACUGUCUCUUUAUUUAUUUUAACCUUAGUAUUAUGAAGCUUCAUAUACAGUUGAACUUCUGUAUCUCGAACACUGAUAUCUCGAAUACAAUGGAUAUCUCAAAGUGAUCUGUAAGUCCCAACCACUUAAACUUUAAGUAUUUUACCAUUGAUAUCUAGAAUACUCAGAUAUCUAGAAGUUUUAAACCAGUCUCAUCUAGUUUAAGGUAAAAAGGUUUGACUUUCUUGGUUCCACUAAGUUCAGGAUAACGAGGUUUGACUGUAUAUUGAAUAAAGUUUAGUUUUAUACAAAUGUACUGAAUUUUUGUAGAUGAAUGAAAACAAAAUUGUUAUUUGUGUUACAUGCAUAUAUAGACAGUUUGUGUAUUUUGAUGAAUGUUAAAUUGACUUCAAGAUGCAAAACAAAUUAUACUUCAUGUU
rnacentral:misc_RNA from 1 species